CAGGGCUCCGCCGCCUUCCUCCCGCCCUACAAAACCCCCCAAACCCACCCAAGCCACCCGCCGCGGCAGCAUCCAUUCGCCUAGUCAAGCAGAUGCAGACCAUCACCCUCCGCGCCGGCCCCACCGCCCACCGCCUCGCGCCACCACCAGCGUCGGCCAGCUCCUCGAACCUCUCCGCCGGCCGAUGCUUCCUCCUGCGGCCUCCCCACUCCCGCUGCCGGCGGCCCCGCUCCCUCAGGGCCUCAGCUUCCCUUGAGCAGGAGGUCAAGGAGCGCGCCGACUCCCCGUCUCCGUCUGCAGGGACGAGUAGUCAAGCAACUAGAAGAGAUGUGAGAAAUAUUGCAAUUGUUGCUCAUGUUGAUCAUGGGAAGACAACUUUGGUGGAUUCAAUGUUAAGACAAUCCAAGGUUUUCCGAGACAAUCAAGUUGUGCAGGAAAGGAUAAUGGACUCUAAUGAUCUGGAGAGGGAAAGAGGAAUUACUAUACUGAGCAAAAAUACAUCAAUAACCUAUAAGGGUACUAAAAUCAAUAUAAUUGAUACUCCUGGGCAUUCAGAUUUUGGUGGGGAGGUGGAACGUGUUCUCAACAUGGUGGAAGGAAUUCUCCUAGUGGUUGAUUCUGUGGAGGGACCUAUGCCACAAACAAGAUUUGUUCUGAAGAAAGCUCUAGAAUUUGGACAUGCUGUUGUGGUAGUUGUAAACAAGGUUGACAGACCUAUUGCUCGUCCAGAGUUUGUAGUUAAUUCAACGUUUGAGCUAUUUAUCGAAUUAAAUGCAACAGAUGAACAGUGUGAUUUCCAAACAGUCUAUGCAAUUGGCCUCAAAGGAAAGGCUGGGAUCUCCGCAGAUAAUCUGGCUGAUGAUCUUGGACCCCUUUUUGAGGCUAUUCUUAGAUGUAUACCUGAACCACGCAUUGAGAAAGAUGGUGCCCUCCAAAUGCUUGUAACUAGUACCGAAUAUGAUGAACAUAAAGGAAGGAUAGCAAUUGGACGACUGCAUGCAGGAGAACUAAAACGAGGCAUGGAAGUGAAGGUGUGUACACCAGAUGAUGCCUGUAGAAUUGGCAAAAUAGGUGAGCUUUUUGUGUACGAGAACUUCGGACGCGUUCCAGUUGAAUCUGUUAGUGCUGGUGACAUUUGUGCUGUAUGUGGAAUCAAUGAUAUCAUGAUUGGGGAAACUAUAGCUGAUAAAGUUUCUGGAACAGCGUUGCCCACUAUCAAAAUUGAGGAACCAACAGUUAGAAUGUCUUUCUCCAUCAACACUUCACCUUUUGUUGGAAAAGAGGGGAAAUUUGUCACUAGCCGAAAUCUUCGUGAUAGGCUAUAUCGUGAGCUUGAAAGGAACUUGGCUAUGAAAGUAGAAGAUGGGGAAACUGCUGAUACAUUUCUUGUUAGUGGCAGAGGCACACUGCACCUCACCAUAUUGAUAGAGAACAUGCGGAGGGAAGGAUAUGAGUUUAUGAUUGGACCUCCAAAGGUCAUAAACAAGACAGUAAAUGGAAAGCUAUUGGAGCCAUAUGAGAUCGCUGCUAUAGAGGUUCCAGAGGAAUAUAUGGGAUCAGUUGUCGAGCUAUUGGGGAAAAGGCGCGGACAAAUGCUUGACAUGGAAGCUAGUGGGCCAGAGGGAACUUCAUUGCUGAAAUACAAGGUUCCAACCAGAGGCCUCAUUGGGCUCCGGAAUGCAAUUCUAACAGCUUCUAGGGGCAGAGCUAUACUUAACACAAUCUUUGACAGCUAUGGCCCGUGGGCUGGAGAUAUUAGUUCACGUGAUCAAGGCUCAUUGGGUGUAGAUAUUUGCGCUAUUCGAGUUGUGGAUCAUCCCAUUCCCAAAAUCAAACAAGCUGAACUUCUCUUUGAACCAGUUCAUUUGAAUUAAAGGAGGCUAUAUUAGGCCUAUAGGCUAAUAUUAACGAUUUGGCAUCACUUGGUUUAUGAAAAAGAUUACCACGGGAAUUUACUUUGAUCCAACGCAUGGAUAAGAGUGAUAAAGAAUGAUAACUCUUUAUGACGUGGAAUGAUAAUUCUGUAUGACAUGGAAUGAUAAUUCUUUAUGGCGUGGAAUGAUAAUUCAGAUAGCAGCAUCCUAAUUUGAAGAUCAAUACAAUUGAAAAUCUGCCAAUAGACUACUACAUUAUGCAAUACUAAAGUGUUAAAGUUGUUGCCUUGGUGCAGUGGUAAAGCUGUUGCCUUGGAGCUACAUGCACCGGGCUGCCCUUUUUUAUUACAGCGAUGACGUACACAUGAACACCCACAUGACAUGCAAACACAAGUCCGCCUUCACUGGCUGGAUCUAAGGAAUCCUAAAAGUAAAUCCGUGGAUCUCACAAGAUCUGUAUAUAUUUUAUCUUGUAUGAAAGACGUUUACAUUUUAGCAAGUAUAUACAUAGUAAAAUUAGACUACCGAGUUUGCACUGACAACUUUGAAAUCCUAUAGCAUAUCAUUUCAAAUUUUAUGCAUAAUAUAAACAGGUGCAUGAUAAACCUAUCUCCAGUACAACAUAUCUCUGCAUAGGCCAAACAUGCUCUAGAAAUUGCAUGGUUAAUUACAUGUCAUUUGUUCGUUUGGUCCUUCCAAAUAUUGAAAAUUACGAAAUUGUCAACACAUCAGCUAUAUCUUAAACAUGGUUCUUUUAGGGAACGCCAACUAAUUUUACUCACUGACUUUUUACAAACUUAUCUGCCUACCUAUUGCGCGGAACUUAUUUACCUAAUUUGGCUUACAGUUUUCUUCAAUAUCUAACAUAGUGGGAAUGAUCCAGGUGGCAUUCGAAGGUGGAAGUACUACUUCUUAUGCUUGCGUUAAUGCA